UUUUGUGAUUUUCCAAUUAUUUUUAGAUACAGAUGUUUCUGCUUUAUGUAAAGAAUAUUUACAAAGAACUGCCUAAUCACUUGCAUCUUAUAUUUGAACUACGACCUACUCCAAAUGUAAAAGAUUUAUCGGCAACUACGUUGGAACUUUUAUUGAAAGAAACAUUUACCAUAACACAGAUUCAAAUUGAGAAAAGUGGAAAAAGAAUCCCGAAUUCAACUACCCAGAUGGUCAUUUUAAUCCCAAAAGCUAUGUCCUUAAAGGAACUGGCAGAGCUACCUAUAAUUUUUGUCUUGAUGUACCAGCUAUAUAAAAUGAGUGUUCAUAAAGAUGUCUAAGAAUUUAUACCAUUGAUAAUGACAACUAAUACUUUACAACCCACAACUCAACAGAGGAGAAAUCCAUCUUUCAACAAAGAAGUUUAUGUUAACUUUAUGGCUGCAUAGAUAAAAACAUUAUCCUUUCUAGCUUGCCUAGUUAGAAUAUAUCAAUAUGUUGUGAAUGAACAUUCCUCACAGUUUGCUAAAGGAAGGAUAAGAUUGUUGUAUCUAUGUCCUCAAGAAGUUGCCCACUUGUGCAAAGAAUUGCUCGUAGCAGCCCGUCAUAUUUUAGCCACAGAGCUGAGAUAGCCUCUUGCUUAUAGUACUUUAGCUGAUCUUGUUCAUCAUAUGAGACAAUAUUUAUAGUUGAUGGAUCUGACUAAGGCUGUAAAUGUGCUCUCAAAAAAUGUUAAUGAUGAAUCUUUAGUAACUGCAAUUCAAACAAUGUCUUGUAAGCUUAUUCUAAAUUUAGUUGAAUGCAUUAGAAUAAGAUCUGAUCGAGAAAAUGGCAAUAUUCAAACACUAAUCCAAGUAAGCAAUACCAACCUAAAGAAACUUAUUAGGUUGAUCAAGUAUGCUCAACGAACUCUGGAUGUUUAUAAGUUAA
rnacentral:lncRNA from 1 species